UACUCCUACGGGAGGCAGCAGUGGGGAAUUUUGGACAAUGGGCGAAAGCCUGAUCCAGCAAUGCCGCGUGAGUGAAGAAGGCCUUCGGGUUGUAAAGCUCUUUUGUCAGGGAAGAAACGGUGGACUCUAAUACAGAUCACUAAUGACGGUACCUGAAGAAUAAGCACCGGCUAACUACGUGCCAGCAGCCGCGGUAAUACGUAGGGUGCAAGCGUUAAUGGAAUUACUGGGCGUAAAGCGUGCGCAGGCGGUUUGGUAAGACAGAUGUGAAAUCCCCGGGCUCAACCUGGGAAUUGCAUUUGUGACUGCCCGGCUAGAGUGUGUCAGAGGGGGGUAGAAUUCCACGUGUAGCAGUGAAAUGCGUAGAGAUGUGGAGGAAUACCGAUGGCGAAGGCAGCCCCCUGGGAUAACACUGACGCUCAUGCACGAAAGCGUGGGGAGCAAACAGGAUUAGAUACCCUGGUAGUCCACGCCCUAAACGAUGUCUACUAGUUGUUGGGUCUUAAUUGACUUAGUAACGCAGCUAACGCGUGAAGUAGACCGCCUGGGGAGUACGGUCGCAAGAUUAAAACUCAAAUGAAUGACGG
rnacentral:rRNA from 1 species